GGUGGGCGGGCCUGGGGAGAGUGGCGGCUGCGGGCCCCGCCGUGCCCCGCCCGGAAGCUGCCUUUCCGCUGGCGCUGCCCGCCUUCGACCCGGUGUUGCCGCUGCGGCGGUGAUGGAGCGUAGACCCCUGAGGUCCGCUCUGUGCUGCUGGCGGAGACGAGGCCGCGGGGACCGCAGCGCCUGGCGCCGGGCGACCACACCCUCGGUUUGGGGGGCAAGCCUGCCUUUUGCGCACUUGGACUUUCCCCCACCAUCUUCUAAGUCUUAGUGCUUUCGUACCAGGUGACCGAAUAAACAACUGUGGUAGCUCCGUACAAUGGAGCGCUAUUCAGCACUGGGAAGAAACGAGUUAUCAGAAAAGACGUGGAGGAUCCUACAUGCACACUGCUGAGUGGAAGAAGUCUGGAAACGCCAACUACUGCAUGGUUGCAACCCUGACAUUCUGAAAAGGACAAACCUAGUGGAGACAGUGGUUUCCAGGCUCAAGGAGAGGGAGUGAUGGAAGGCCGAACACAGAGGAUUUUUAGGGUCGUGAAACUAAUGAUGAAUACGUGUCAUUACGCAUUUGUCCAAACCCGUAGAAGGAACAACCCCAAGAGUGAGCCCUCGGGUAAACCAUAGGCUUUAGUUAAUAAUAAUGAUCGCUGCUGGUCCAUUAAUUGAGUGAAUGUACCACAGCUACGCAGGUCGUUAAUAGUAGGGAGACCCAGUGUGGGCAGAGAGUAUAUAACAACAUUCGGUACUUCCUGCUCAGUUGCUCCAUAAACCUAAAACUCCAAAAAAUAAAGUCUAAUUUUUAAAAACCUCA